GGCCAUUGUGGGCCACACACAUAGUACAGGCAACGCAGAUUGGCCAGUGUGACGUUGUACAGUACAAUGGAGCAUCAAAAUGAUAAUCAAGAUCAACCUCCGUUAAAAAGAAGAAGACGUCACUCUGCACCAUCCACUAUGCAGCAUUUCAAAAUGUUCGAGGUUGAUGUUUCAGAUGCCAGAAAAGAGAUCGUCCUGCUGCUGUCACAGCAGGCUGAUUACUUAAGGAGCAGAGCUGCAGCCGACACUGCACAGAUGAAGGACGCAGAAGAGCUUUUGUUUGAAGUCAAGAAUCUGGAAAUCACACUUAGAAAUAAGAAGAAACAUCUGUUGGCACAGCUGGAUAUCAUUACUGCUAGACUUAUGAAUCAUUUCUAAUUCAACAUGUGUGAUUGCAGCUAUUUAUUCAGUUAGAUUUGUUUAAUUUUUUUGAGUAAACUGAUAACAGCA